rnacentral:rRNA from 1 species
UACGAAGGGGGCUAGCGUUGCUCGGAAUGACUGGGCGUAAAGGGCGCGUAGGCGGUUUGUACAGUCAGGUGUGAAAUUCCCGGGCUCAACCUGGGGGCGGCACUUGAGACGUAGGAACUGGAGUGAGGAAGAGGGUCGUGGAAUUCCCAGUGUAGAGGUGAAAUUCGUAGAUAUUGGGAAGAACACCGGUGGCGAAGGCGGCAUCCUGGACCAAUUCUGACGCUGAGGAGCGAAAGCCAGGGGAGCAAACGGG